GCAUAUCAAUAAGCGGAGGAAAAGAAACCAACAGGGAUUGCCUUAGUAGCGGCGAGUGAAGCGGCAAAAGCUCAAAUUUGAAAUCUGGCACUUUCAGUGUCCGAGUUGUAAUUUGAAGAAGGUAACUUUGGGUCUGGCUCUUGUCUAUGUUCCUUGGAACAGGACGUCACAGAGGGUGAGAAUCCCGUGCGAUGAGAUGACCCAGACCUAUGUAAGGUUCCUUCGAAAAGUCGAGUGGUUUGGGAAUGCGGCUCUAAGUGGGUGGUAAAUUCCAUCUAAAGCUAAAUAUUGGCGAGAGACCGAUAGCGAACAAGUACAGUGAGGGAAAGAUAAAAAGAACUUUGAAAAGAGAGUGAAAAAGUACGUGAAAUUGUGGAAAGGGAAGGGCUUGAGAUCAGACUUGGUAUUUUGUAUGUUACUCUCUCGGGGGUGGCCUCUACAGUUUACCGGGCCAGCAUCAGUUUGGGCGGUAGGACAAUUGCAAAGAAAUGUGGCACUGCCUCGGUAGUGUGUUAUAGUCUUUGUCGAUACUGCCAGCCUAGACUGAGGACUGCGGCUUCGGCCUAGGAUGUUGGCAUAAUGAUCUUAAGUCGCCCGUCUUGAAACACGGACCAAGGAGUCUAACGUCUAUGCGAGUGUUUGGGUGUAAAACCCGUACGCGUAAUGAAAGUGAACGUAGGUAGGACCUCCUUUAGGAGUGCACUAUCGACCGAUCCUGAUGUCUUCGGAUGGAUUUGAGUAAGAGCAUAGCUGUUGGGACCCGAAAGAUGGGUGAACUAUGCCUGAAUAGGGUGAAGCCAGAGGAAACUCUGGUGGAGGCUCGUAGCGGUUCUGACGUGCAAAUCGAUCGUCGAAUUUGGGUAUAGGGGCGAAAG
rnacentral:rRNA from 1 species